AGCACAAGUUUGAAGUAGGAUAGAUAGGUAGCAUCAGUUGGCCCUACUUAUCUAAUUUACUUGAAUCUUGUGCCC
rnacentral:pre_miRNA from 1 species